rnacentral:rRNA from 1 species
GAUGAACGCUGGCGGCGUGCUUAACACAUGCAAGUCGAACGAAGCACUUUAACCUGAUUCUUCGGAUGAAGGUUUUUGUGACUGAGUGGCGGACGGGUGAGUAACGCGUGGGUAACCUGCCUCAUACAGGGGGAUAACAGUUAGAAAUGACUGCUAAUACCGCAUAAGACCACGGAGCCGCAUGGCUCAGUGGGAAAAACUCCGGUGGUAUGAGAUGGACCCGCGUCUGAUUAGGUAGUUGGUGGGGUAACGGCCUACCAAGCCAACGAUCAGUAGCCGACCUGAGAGGGUGACCGGCCACAUUGGGACUGAGACACGGCCCAAACUCCUACGGGAGGCAGCAGUGGGGAAUAUUGCACAAUGGGGGAAACCCUGAUGCAGCGACGCCGCGUGAGCGAAGAAGUAUUUCGGUAUGUAAAGCUCUAUCAGCAGGGAAGAAAAUGACGGUACCUGACUAAGAAGCACCGGCUAAAUACGUGCCAGCAGCCGCGGUAAUACGUAUGGUGCAAGCGUUAUCCGGAUUUACUGGGUGUAAAGGGAGCGUAGACGGCUGUGUAAGUCUGAAGUGAAAGCCUGGGGCUCAACCCCGGGACUGCUUUGGAAACUAUGCAGCUAGAGUGUCGGAGAGGUAAGUGGAAUUCCCAGUGUAGCGGUGAAAUGCGUAGAUAUUGGGAGGAACACCAGUGGCGCAGGCGGCUUACUGGACGAUGACUGACGUUGAGGCUCGAAAGCGUGGGGAGCAAACAGGAUUCGAUACCCUGGUAGUCCACGCCGUAAACGAUG